UGGGGAAUUUUGGACAAUGGGGGAAACCCUGAUCCAGCCAUCCCGCGUGUGCGAUGAAGGCCUUCGGGUUGUAAAGCACUUUUGGCAGGAAAGAAACGUCGCGGGUUAAUACCCCGCGAAACUGACGGUACCUGCAGAAUAAGCACCGGCUAACUACGUGCCAGCAGCCGCGGUAAUACGUAGGGUGCAAGCGUUAAUCGGAAUUACUGGGCGUAAAGCGUGCGCAGGCGGUUCGGAAAGAAAGAUGUGAAAUCCCAGAGCUUAACUUUGGAACUGCAUUUUUGAACUACCGGGCUAGAGUGUGUCAGAGGGAGGUGGAAUUCCGCGUGUAGCAGUGAAAUGCGUAGAUAUGCGGAGGAACACCGAUGGCGAAGGCAGCCUCCUGGGAUAACACUGACGCUCAUGCACGAAAAGCGUGGGGAGCAAAAGCAGGAUUAGAUACCUUGGUAGUCCACGCCCUAAACGAUGUCAACUAGCUGUUGGGGCCUUCGGGCCUUGGUAGCGCAGCUAACGCGUGAAGUUGACCGCCUGGGGAGUACGGUCGCAAGAUU
rnacentral:rRNA from 1 species